rnacentral:rRNA from 1 species
AGUGAACGCUGGCGGUAGGCCUAACACAUGCAAGUCGAACGGCAGCACAGUAAGAGCUUGCUCUUACGGGUGGCGAGUGGCGGACGGGUGAGUAAUACAUCGGAAUCUACUUUUUCGUGGGGGAUAACGUAGGGAAACUUACGCUAAUACCGCAUACGACCUACGGGUGAAAGCAGGGGAUCUUCGGACCUUGCGCGAUUGAAUGAGCCGAUGUCGGAUUAGCUAGUUGGCGGGGUAAAGGCCCACCAAGGCGACGAUCCGUAGCUGGUCUGAGAGGAUGAUCAGCCACACUGGGACUGAGACACGGUCCAGACUCCUACGGGAGGCAGCAGUGGGGAAUAUUGGACAAUGGGCGCAAGCCUGAUCCAGCCAUACCGCGUGGGUGAAGAAGGCCUUCGGGUUGUAAAGCCCUUUUGUUGGGAAAGAAAAGCAGCAGGUUAAUACCCCGCUGUUCUGACGGUACCCAAAGAAUAAGCACCGGCUAACUUCGUG